rnacentral:rRNA from 1 species
AGUGAACGCUGGCGGUAGGCCUAACACAUGCAAGUCGAACGGCAGCACAGUAAGAGCUUGCUCUUACGGGUGGCGAGUGGCGGACGGGUGAGGAAUACAUCGGAAUCUACUUUUUCGUGGGGGAUAACGUAGGGAAACUUACGCUAAUACCGCAUAUGACCUACGGGUGAAAGCAGGGGAUCUUCGGACCUUGCGCGAUUGAAUGAGCCGAUGUCGGAUUAGCUAGUUGGCGGGGUAAAGGCCCACCAAGGCGACGAUCCGUAGCUGGUCUGAGAGGAUGAUCAGCCACACUGGAGCUGAGACACGGUCCAGACUCCUACGGGAGGCAGCAGUGGGGAAUAUUGGACAAGGGGCGCAAGCCUGAUCCAGCCAUACCGCGUGGGUGAAGAAGGCCUUCGGGUUGUAAAGCCCUUUUGUUGGGAAAGAAAAGCAGCAGGUUAAUACCCCGCUGUUCUGACGGUACCCAAAGAAUAAGCACCGGCUAACUUCGU